CGACCACCGGUCGGGGGACCCCAGUGCAGGCCGCCCGACUGCCGGCAGAUGGUGCCCUCCUCAUCCGAACACGCAGGGAAACCCAGCUAAAGUACCGCUCAGACUCCGCCCCAGCCGAUCUACGGCGCAACAGUCACCCGUUCUUCCCAAAAUAGUGCCGAGCACGUUUCCCCUGGAACACCGCAGUAGCCCAAAAGGAGAACUAGGGAUGGGUUACAGGUUGAAAAAGAUGAAGCGUUACCUCCAAAGUCCGGCCGCAAGCGAAUGUCAUAUCCUUUGAGCAAUCUGUCCACUGUCUCUUUCACGUAUGACAUGUUGCUGGGUUCAUUGGCGCUGAAGGGAAGAAGUAAGGACCGUAUGCAAAAUGAGCACAGACCGUGAGCACAUAUAAAAGAUACAGGCACACCUACCCCCAAAUAACAAGAUACAUGAUCCAGCAGGCACGUAAAAAGAAACAUACCAAGAAAAAAGAGGAAGAUUAAACAGCAGCUCACCUGUGUGCACAACAGACCAUGGUAAUCAUCACAGGGAAAGAAAGAAGCCCCAAACUCUCUCGAUUUUGUACUGUCCACAUUACUAACUCUGAUUAGAGAAUUGUCUUUUCUGCGAAGAUUCAAGGAAUGCAACUUAGUCCGCUGCUGGGCAGUAAUUCCCGAAUGGACCUGCGCAUGCGCAGAGGGCGCUCGCUACCAAAAGACACCUUGUGCCUUGCAAACAAUAUUCCUAGUGGAACAGGCAACAGAUUUCAAUCCUUCUAAAGUUCCUUUUUGGGGUGCUCCGUGUCCUCCGGGCAGUCAGAGACAAUCUGCUAUUUUCACGCAGGGAAUCCUACGAGCAAGUGUAAGCAGAGUUUCCUUCAUGCACUGGAGGUUGCUAUAUUGAUUUCCUUUCAGCCCCCAACCUGAUUUUGUUUUUUUACUGGGCUCUCAGUGAUUUGGCUACGGCUGCCUGUGAUUGGCAUCUUCCGUUGACAGUCAGGGAGGUCCCAGAACCGGGAUUCUGGAGGCGGAUCUCUUGUUCUCUGUUUGCCGGUGGCGGUACCCGGCGGAUGUGGUCAGCAGGGGUUGAGGGUGGGGGUGACUGGGAGCUGGGGAGAGUGGAGGGAGAGGGAGCCAGGGUGUUACGAAAGGUACAGAGGAAACUCAGGGCGUAUUUGAGAACUCCAAAGAUCAGGUGCCCUUGAGAGGCAUCCUAGGACAUCUGGCUUGGUGUAGACUUCUGUAGGAGGCGGAGUAGGAGAGGCAAGCCAACUUUUCUUCCACCCCACUUUUCUUCCCUCCACUUGUAGUUUCUCUACCAGGUUGGGAAAUGAGGGAAACAAAGGAUGGGACAGCAGUUCUUGGCAGGCAAUCUUUUUUUCUGGGGCCAUCCGCUGCAAGCCUCACUUUUUCUUCCAGGUUUUAGUAAGAAAAAUCUCUUUCUUAAAUUGACAGCAUACGAGCUGGUAUUUGUGACCCCUAACAGAACCCUGAAACAUCCAGACACUCUAACCUCUGUUUGCCAGUAGGUUGGGAUUCUGCAGGAGCAAGCAUUUUUUAAUAAAAUCAAAUAUAGUAACUUCGAUUAUACAAAUGUCAUUGAGCACAUGUUAAGCAGAAGGCCCUGGGCCAGGUGUUUGUUCAUUUGUUAAAUAGCACAUGUUAAAUCUAUGUUGUAGGCAUUCUGGGACUUAUAACUGCUUCAAAAAGGGUUCCUGAGCUAGAAAAAUUCACAUCUAAUGAGAGGGAUAGACACAAGUGUAAGGAAUUCAGUGUAUCUCUAGAGAGUUUAUGUAGUGAGUGACAGGAGUGUUGGUAAUUCUACCAGGGAGACGUUUCCAGAGGAGGAGUAAUUUGAAGGAGGAGAAAGAUUUUUGCCAGAGCAGGAAGGAUGGGGCAUUCCAGAAAGAGGGACACCAUGUGCCAAAUCCACAGUCUACUUAGAUAACUAAACCCAGAAAUGACUGGUCAGAUUACAAAGGGAGGGAGAGAAGGUAGGUGAUGAGAGUGCAAAGGGAAGUUGAGGUCACAUUACAAAAACAUUACAUACUCUGCAUUUAGGCUUCUGGCAAUCAGUGAAAUGUCUCAGUAAGGAUGGUGAGGGUCGGAUUUAGGCUUUAGAACUCACUGGUAAAAUAAUUAUAGCAACAAUCAACAUAUAUCACUUGCUGGUUAGGUGGCAGGUAUUGUGCACAUUACAUAGAUUAUCCCAUUUAAACCUUAGAACAGCCCAAAAGGGCUAUAUAUGAUUAUUAUUCCCAUUUUAUAGAUAAGGAUACUAAGACUAAAUUAACUAGUUUAAUAUCAAACAGCUAAUACAUGGUAGAAUCUGCAUUUCAAUCAAUAUUCUAUAGAUUUAACUAUCCCUGUAUGUUGUGAAGCAUGGACUCAAAGAGGAAGAACCAGAUAACGAAAAAAGAAGGAAAAGGAUUAUUAAAAUAUCCCAGGUAAAAGAAACUAAAGUCAGAAAGUGUUUAGCAUAAAGAGGAGGUGAUAGACUAGCUCAAGUUUUCAGAAAUAUAAUAGAGAAAUUGAACAGUUGGACGAGUCAGGAUCUGGGGACAUUUGGAGGGUGCCUAAAAAUUGUACAACCAUUUACAUAUGUAUAGAGCUUGACAUUCUACAAAUACAUUAAUUUUAUUUUAUAAUUUGAGCCUCACAGAACCUUAAAUACUGGGGCCAUUCCUUAUGGGAAAGAAUGCUAACUACUAAUUAGAUUCCUUAAUUUUCUUAAAAGGAUAUCAACUCUACCUUGUAUACCUUAUACAUAUCUGCUUUUAUGGGUUAAAGAGAGGCUUAUUUAUGUUUUAGAUCCUUGCUGAAGCAUGGAUCCCCUCUGUGCUGCAUGAUUCUAUGCAAAAUUCACACUGUAGAAAGCAGGAUACAUGAAGCUUUACUUCAUUCAUUUCCUCACUUGUUUAUUCCCCAAAUAUGUAUUGAACACUUACUGGGUUCCAGAUAUUAGGCAAAAAGCUGGUGAUACAACAGUGGACAAUACAGUGUCCCUUUUCACAUAGAAUUUGUCGAUUUUUACAAUCUGUUCAUGGUUGCAAAUUAGCCUUGCUACUCAAAUUCAAUUAGUAAAAAGCAUUCCACCAAGUAUUUGCUUCAUAUAGUUUUUAUUGGGAUAUAUGUUUUCCAUUUGCUCAUAAACCCCAAUAAUUAUUUUUGAAUAACAACUAGGAUUUUAUUCAGCAGGGCCUGCUGAAGAGCCAAGAUUUUAUUCUUGAAUUAAGAAAGACUAUCUGCAACUUUGUAGACUUGAAUCCUAUUGUUUAGCAUGCCCCAGUGAAUCAAUUCCACUGAAUUUUGCUUUGAAAUUAUGUUUUACAUUUACCUGAAAGAACAGUAAAAGUCAUAAGAUAUUCAUUAUCACAUUCAUUUGUUACUGAGAUGCUAUAGAAGGUGAAGCCCACUCUAUCACUUGGUAUCUUAUAUACAAGAACUGUUGAGAGGAUAUUUUUCUCAGACCUCAGUACUCUGAAAAUUGUCUUAUUGUUUGAAUAGCUUAUCUUAUGAACAAUAGAAACCAUAAAAUUAAUUAAAUUCUCUACUUACUUUGGCUACUGAAGAUGUCAGACUCUUGUGUACAACUCAGUUUUAGUCAUUUUGUAAGAUAUGAAUGACCUGCAUUUUGAUAUAUUACAAUUUCUCUACAAUGC